CCUUCAAAUCGAUAGUUUAUUAAUUAGUUAUUAUUUAUACGUUUUAUUUGAUCAACACGAAAUGUAGCGCAAAAUAAUAUUGAUAAAGGUACAACUGCUCGUGAAGAGAGAACGAAUCCGCAAAUAAUACCAAAGUGACGGUAUAAUGUAUAACGUUCGGGUGUGUGAAUGACCGCCGCCGUGUUCGUCUCAUCGGAGAAUACAUCAUUAAAGAAAUGUUUUAUUUAUCAAUUUAAUGGAUUUAUACAAUAUUUAAUGAUAAACCAUGGUAUAUUUUCAUAUUUCCUUGAAUUCUGUGCAGAGAGUCUCGCAAUAAAGUCGUAAGAAGUCUUGGUCGUGAGGUUCGAUGCCGGGCAAAAUCCUAGAUAUGGCUGAUUUUCGAGUCGCCGGGGCGAAAAUUGGACGUCGAAAAAUGAAUUUUGGUAUCAGGAGAAUAUGAUGAGUGAGGAGCCAGGGAAUCAGGAGACUAUACGCAAACGUUAGUAACUCGUCGAAAAAAAAACAAAAGAUGGGCGGAGCGUCCCAUUGGUUGCCCGGCGCCAUCAUGCUUUUUGGCGCCUGGAACCAAUAGGAAGCCGCGAAAAAGCUCGGAGCAAACUCGUCUCCUAUUUCAAAGAGUUACUAACGUUUGCGCAUAGUCCCUUAAUUUCAAAAUGGACCCCGCCGCCGGAUUGAACGUGAAUCAAAUUGGCAGAGCAGAUGUUCAUUUAAACGGGUUAAUUAAUAGUAUAUUCGGACGGAUAAAGAGUAUUUAUACAGCAGUGCAUUGAGAAUAGUUUGAAAAUCAACGGUAUGGCACUGCGAGUAUAUCACGUUAUUUUGCGAAUGCUCAACCUCCACUCUAACGAUUGUAUGAAAGCUCCCAGACGUUUGCACCAGAUGAGAUUCCUAUGCGUGCUGACACUCAAUUAUACAAUUAGUAAAGUGAAUACUACUGGAAGUAAAUGUCACCAUUUCGGAGUAGAAGAAUCAAAGUGCAUCCUCAAGAGCAGAGGGGCUAGAAUGACGGCUAGAACAUUGGAUUCAAUCUAUAGAAGAGUCUUAUCAUACUUGGUUGUUUUUUGAAAUGAAUACUGGAAGCGUUGACCACUGCUAUUCGUUCCAUUCUUCCAGAUCGAACUGUAUUCGUCCCAGGGGAGAAUGCAAAGCUGAAACGACAGAGUGCUUGCGGUAUACGUCAGAUGUUAUUAUUACACCCCUGUGUGCCUUGGCGGAAAGUCACUGCCAGUGUGUCGCUGGGCAAGGUCCAGCUGCCCACCGCGAGCAUGUUGUUGCUCUGCUUCUGAAAACGACACAGAGAGUUUGAGAAAGAGAAAUCAUACUUUCUGAUUCGGAUUCCUGAGAUCAAAAUACAUAAGGAUAGCAUGACAAACCCUUCCAAAAAAAAU